rnacentral:rRNA from 1 species
AACGAACGCUGGCGGCAUGCCUAACACAUGCAAGUCGAACGAGACCUUCGGGUCUAGUGGCGCACGGGUGCGUAACGCGUGGGAACCUGCCUUUAGGUUCGGAAUAACUCAGAGAAAUUUGAGCUAAUACCGGAUGAUGUCUUCGGACCAAAGAUUUAUCGCCUUUGGAUGGGCCCGCGUUGGAUUAGCUAGUUGGUGGGGUAAAGGCCUACCAAGGCGACGAUCCAUAGCUGGUCUGAGAGGAUGAUCAGCCACACUGGGACUGAGACACGGCCCAGACUCCUACGGGAGGCAGCAGUGGGGAAUAUUGGACAAUGGGCGAAAGCCUGAUCCAGCAAUGCCGCGUGAGUGAUGAAGGCCUUAGGGUUGUAAAGCUCUUUUAACCGAGAUGAUAAUGACAGUAGCGGGAGAAUAAGCUCCGGCUAACUCCGUG